UUUGAACGCUGGCGGCAUGCCUUACACAUGCAAGUCGAACGGCAGCACGGGAGCAAUCCUGGUGGCGAGUGGCGAACGGGUGAGUAAUAUAUCGGAACGUGCCUUUCAGUGGGGGAUAACGUAGCGAAAGUUACGCUAAUACCGCAUAUUCUGUGAGCAGGAAAGCAGGGGAUCGCAAGACCUUGCGCUGAUUGAGCGGCCGAUAUCAGAUUAGCUAGUUGGUGAGGUAAAGGCUCACCAAGGCGACGAUCUGUAGCGGGUCUGAGAGGAUGAUCCGCCACACUGGAACUGAGACACGGUCCAGACUCCUACGGGAGGCAGCAGUGGGGAAUUUUGGACAAUGGGCGCAAGCCUGAUCCAGCCAUGCCGCGUGAGUGAAGAAGGCCU
rnacentral:rRNA from 1 species